ensembl:lncRNA
CUUCCAGAGAUACAAAACAAUGUGAAUGUACUGGAGCUUCCAGAGAUACAAAACAAUGUGAAUGUACUGGAGCUUCCAGAGAUACAAAACAAUGUGAUUGUAGCUGAGAAUUGUCUGAUGAGGAGUGCUUUGAUGAAGAAAAAAACACUUCCAGGGAGUGGGGAAUUGUUUUAAUCAGGGCCAAAGGCACAACACAGUUUAAUGCAGCUCUGUCAAGAGAUCUGUAAAGUUACAUCUGGUAAUGGUUGGCAGGUCGGUGUUGCAAUUCCUUGAGGUGAUUAUUUACAGGACUGUCUGUUUGAAACUAGAAGAUGCUGCUUAAAAACUUGGCUGAAUCCACUGGGGAAAUGUAAUGUCCAGUUCACAAAAUCCUACCACAGAAGAACGUGUAGCAUCACAGUAUUGGUAUUUUGAUAAUCAACGAUGAUCAAACAGUAUACAGUUUCCAUUAUACCAUUCAAGUAAUAACCCCCAAGUUUCAUCCUGAUUUUUGGAAAUAUGGCUGUUGAUUUAUUUAAUGUUCAACAAUGUAGCACUCCACUUCCUUUAGUCUCCUCUCUUCCUAAAUGUUUCUACUCUUCCUUCCCUUUCUCUCGUUGUUCUGUCACACCUCAAGUCCCAGCAUCAUGGAGGGCAGUCCAGUCCAAUGUGUCACUAAACUAGGACCCUUUUUCAGCUUUAAUAGUUUGCUUCUUGGUUAUAAUUGUGUGUGUGCAGUACAGCAUUGAUCUAUCUCGGCUUUAACUAUCAAGCAUUAAUGAUUUAAGUGAUUGUGAUGCAAAGUCAGCUGAUCGAGUGGCCAAUAUAUCCUGCUGCUACUCCAUGGAUAUACAUACAGUAUGGCAAAACAAACUGAACCAUCCUUUCUGCUGUAGAAUCAAGAUGGCGUCAGAUCUGGUUCCACUUUCCCUUCUUCUGUCUCGUCAGUAUCCACUGGUAUGUAAAGGUAACCAAUGACAUCUCUCGCUGUGCCACUAAAGAGUUUGGAAUUUGAGUAUGAAGAGGAAUAAUGCUAUUUGAAGAUGUCAGUGAGUCUAUGCUAUCAGUUGUCAAGUAUCGUUGGGAGACGAGUGAGUUAAAGAAAUGAGACUGAGAGAAUCUGGUUUUAAACAUUCGGCUCUAGUCACUGUUGGCACUAUUGAAGCUUUUUCCAUUGGGGUACAUUAUGUGGAAGCCUCCUAACUUUUAACACUUUUAAGAAUCAAUGUGUGAAAAGGGGCUAGGGUAUAUGGAAAUAUAUUAUCUGGAAGUAUUUAGGGAUGUAGAGGAACUAGUAAUAAAAUAAAAACAUGCAGGCUGGCCAAAGAAAGAAGGUGUUUUUUCCAUGAUUCAUUUUGGGGUUUGUGUGUUUUUAUUUUGGUAUUAAAGCUUGAAUUGAAUCCUUUUGUGUAUGUGUGUGUGACUGAGACAGUGUUUGUUAACCUAUGUGGUGAGCUGUGGACGACCCCCAUGGUGGUCAGUCAGUCUGUGAUUUGAUUUUCACAAAGGCUCUAGUUCCUUGGUCACACACUGGAAAUCCUCAGCAUUGCCUAGCAACAGUUCAACACAGGAAACCAAUCCAGACUCAGAAUGGCUCAUCGGUUGGUUCGUUGCACAGAUAGGGAGUAAAGGAGGACGUAACGUACAAGGAGACAUUUCCACAGUCAAUGGAAGUGCAGAUUCUGCUUCUACCUCAAGGGUUAAUCGGAAUUUGUUUCCUUAUAAUUGCAAGUUCCAAACUCAUACAGGGGCUCAGGUCUUGGAUAUAGAAACAAUUCAUGGAUCAUAUCAGUUAACAUGCAGGCAGUCAUUGUGUAGUGCAGCGAGUGUGUGGUACAUUGGUGCAGUCCUACUCCUAGCAUGUGCUGUUAUAGUUUGAUUGUACAAAUCUUAUUUUAGAAUAUGUUUAAAGACAUUAAAGAAUGUCGCAGGGAAAUGUUUGAUUCAAACGAUGAAAGACAAAUAUGUUGUUGUUGAUGUGAAUAUUUAUUUGAUAGUUAUUAUAGCUAUUAUUAUUUUUGUAGCUUUUUUGGUUGAGAUGUAUAUUUGUUUGAAUUCUGUUUUGGACAUUGGACUUUCUGCCUUUAUUUUGCUCUGUUAAUAAAGCUUGUGACUGGUA